UCUUAUUGCGUUCGUCACACUUUCGCUUCCCGCAAAGGAACGGCGUUCCUCUCUUCCGCUGUGCCCUAGCCCCCAACACCGACUAGCCGGCGGCGUCGAGUGCAUACGUGGUCCGCGGACACACCUGCUCCUCACGCCGUGGUUCGGUCGCGGAAGGACAUGGCCGAUUCCACCAGCUCCUCCUCGCGCUUCGGCUUCGCCGCCGCCUUCUCCGACCAAGUCCUCAUGCCCAGGGCAUCUGGGGUUCAGGUCGUGUUGUGUCUCUGUCGACUCGCACAAAGGUCAGCGACACCAGCUUCGUGGUUGGCGUCGCGGUGGGCUUCACUCUGAAGAGAAGGCUGCGCCGGUGGGCUGCUAGGCUGCUCAAGAGAAUUAAUGACGAUAACUGGCCACAUAACUGCAAUCUCUUAUUUUUUGUUCACAAAUGGUUACUCUCUAUCCCCAAGUUGAAACCUUGUAGGUUGCUUUGGAUUAACUGUGAUGAAUACAAGCUAGUGGUUUUCCAGCUGUAUGUGCACCACCCCUUUUAGGUGAUCUGUACUGGCACUUGUGGUAGGUGCAGAUUCUGCCUUGCAUCUCUCGCUAUCGUAAUCUAUGGUGCCAUUUUGAGUCUUCCCUGGUUGAUUUAUAAAUAUAAUUUGUAUUUGUUUUUCGA